UACCAGCUCUCCGAGUGGUAGGGAUGAUUAUUGGGCUUAAAGCGUCCGUAGCCGGCUUAGCAAGUUUCCUGUUAAACCCAGCGACUCAAUCGUUGGAUCGCGGGAAAUACUACUAGGCUAGGAGGCGGGAGAGGUCAACGGUACUUCUGGGGUAGGGGUGAAAUCCUAUAAUCCCGGGAGGACCACCAGUGGCGAAGGCUGUUGACUAGAACGCGCUCGACGGUGAGGGACGAAAGCUGGGGGGAGCGAACCGGAUUAGAUACCCGGGUAGUCCCAGCUGUAAACGAUGCGAGCUAGGUGUUGGAAUGGCUACGGGCCAUUUCAGUGCCGCAGGGAAGCCAUUAAGCUCGCCGCCUGGGGAGUACGGCCGCAAGGCUAGAAACUUAAAGGAAUUGGCGGGGGAGCACCACAAGGCGUGAAGCUUGCGGUUC
rnacentral:rRNA from 1 species